GCGCGAAAUCUUCGCAAUGUGCGAAAGCACGACGAGGGAACCCCAAGUGCCUUUGUACAACAAAGGCUUUUGUAGAGUUUAAAUAACUCUGAGAAUAAGGGCUGGGUAAGGCUGGUGCCAGCCUCCGCGGUAAAACCAGCAGCUCUAGUGGUACUCGCGAUUAUUGGGCUUAAAGCGUACGUAGUCGGUUCGGCAAGUUCCCUGUGAAAUCCUGUGACUUAAUUACAGGGCUUGCGGGGGAAUACUACCGAGCUUGGAACCGGGAUAGGUCAGGGGUAUUCCUUGGGUAGCGGUGAAAUGCUAUAAUCCAGGGAAGACCACCAAUAGCGAAGGCACCUGUCUGGAACGGGUUCGACGAUGAGGAACGAAAGCUAGGGGAGCAAACUGGAUUAGAUACCCAGGUAGUCCUAGCCGUAAACGAUGCAGACUAAGUGUUUCCCGAACUUUGCGUUCGGGAAGCGUUGAAGGGAACCGUUAAGUCUGCCGUCUGGGGAGUACGGUCGCAAGGCUGAAACUUAAAGGAAUUGGCGGGGGAGCGACCACAAGGGGUGGAGUCUGUC
rnacentral:rRNA from 1 species